rnacentral:rRNA from 1 species
CCUACGGGAGGCAGCAGUGGGGAAUAUUGCACAAUGGGGGAAACCCUGAUGCAGCGACGCCGCGUGAGCGAAGAAGUAUUUCGGUAUGUAAAGCUCUAUCAGCAGGGAAGAAGAAAUGACGGUACCUGACUAAGAAGCACCGGCUAAAUACGUGCCAGCAGCCGCGGUAAUACGUAUGGUGCAAGCGUUAUCCGGAUUUACUGGGUGUAAAGGGAGCGCAGGCGGAAGGCUAAGUCUGAUGUGAAAGCCCGGGGCUCAACCCCGGUACUGCAUUGGAAACUGGUCAUCUAGAGUGUCGGAGGGGUAAGUGGAAUUCCUAGUGUAGCGGUGAAAUGCGUAGAUAUUAGGAGGAACACCAGUGGCGAAGGCGGCUUACUGGACGAUAACUGACGCUGAGGCUCGAAAGCGUGGGGAGCAAACAGGAUUAGAUACCCGAGUA